rnacentral:lncRNA from 1 species
GAGCUGCCACCACAGAGGCUCUGCGGGCUGGGGGGGCUGCCUGGAAGCAGCUGCAGCAUCCUGGUGGUAAUGAAAUCCAUCGGGAAAAAGCAGCCCCUGAGCAGCAGGAGCGGCGUUUGGGAGCCAGAUUUUGCCUGAAGGGAAGUGACUCAACGUCUUGGAAGGAGUUGGGGGCGGUGGGGGGAACAGAGGACAGCGGUUGACCCAGGGUGGGGACAGCACAGCCAGGGGGGCUGGCAGCCACCUGCCUCCCGUUGUGCUCCCGGCUGGAGCAGCAUCCCCGCGGGGCGCUCUGGGCUCCGUUAUCCCUCCGUGGGACGGUGCGCUCCGGCCCGGGGGGCGGCACAGGAAAGGAGGCCCCUCGGGAAGCAGCUUGUUGCUUCCUCACGCUGGGUUGUGAUCCAGGCCAGCGUUCCCAGCUCCCGGCGUCACACCCUCUCCCAGCUGUUGCUCGCCGAGCAUCGCGCUGCCAAGAAAACCUUGGUGAUGGAUGCAACUCCCUCCCCGCUCCCUUAAAACCGGCGGGGAGCGGCACCGUGCCUGGGUCUGUCCCGGCACGCCGGGAUCCGCCUGGGAAUGGGAUCCCGCUGGCACCCAGGGCAGCCCGAGCUCGUCCUGCCCAGCGCGGAGCAGCAGGACAGCGUUGGCACCGCACGAGCUCAUGCCUUAGGCCGGUGUGGAGGGAGCUGCCGCUGUGCCCUGGGACACUGAAGUGUCACCUGUCCCCCAUCCCGACAGAGAGGAGAGAGGGGAAGAUCCCUGGCUGCAGACCCCAGCAUCCCAGCUCCCCGGGACCACACGGAUC